GGUCUUGUAGCUUAGUGGCAAAGCAAGCGCCUGAAGAGCGCUGGAUAUUGGUUCGAUUCCAGUCAAGACCACCA
rnacentral:tRNA from 1 species